UCAUUUCCGACUAUAGCGGCCAACCAGAGGGAAGCACUUAAGUCUCCGUUCCACUUUAAGGAAGAACCCAAAAUGGAGGACGCUUUGAGUCCCAGACCGGCCUCCCAGUGUCAUAUCCAGUCCGGCUUCCUUGGGACCUUCUGCCAGGACGGGCUCGCCGGUGUCCCGGCAGCCUCUGAGCGCCCGAGGUCGCUCAAACCCAGCGACGGAAGUCCCUCGGCUAAGAAGAGCUUGCUGAGCCAGGACAUCAAUGUUAAAGUGGCUUCUGAGUUGCUGAUGAAGCUUUCAGAGAACAACAAAGAUGCCCACUUCCAGAAGGUGAAGGUAAAAGCAGAGCCCAUGGAGGUGGACCCGGCCCCCGCAGAUCUCCCCUCGCCUGCUUCUCACCUGCUGGCCUUCAGCACUUUAGGGGCGAGCGAGAAGACCGAGCCUAUGCCGGAGCCGCUGGCCCGCCCUCAGAAAGACCUCUUCUCCCAAGACAUCUCGGUCAAAAUGGCCUCCGAACUCCUCUUCAAAUUGUCAGAAAAAGUGAGCAAAGCCAACAACCAUAAAGACGGCAACAUGGUGGGAAUUCACAGUCCGUUCCUGGAUGAGUGCUUUAGACAAUCACCCUUCAACCCGCGCUCCAAAAGCUCUUCCCCCGCAGAGGCCAGCUCCUCCACCAGGGCAGCUUUCCACGAUCCUGACAAGGAUGACGGAGAGCCGGGAAACGGGAUCGCCCAGUGGAGACUAAACGAGCAGCUCUACCCGUGUCCCAUCUGUGGGAAAGUGUUCGGUAGACAACAGACGCUUUCGCGACACCUGUCCCUGCACACAGAAGAGAGGAAGUACAAGUGUCACCUGUGUCCGUACGCCGCCAAGUGCAGAGCCAACCUCAAUCAGCACCUGACCAUCCACUCUGUCAAGCUGGUCAGCACGGACGCCGAGCACAUGGUCAGCGCCGUCGCCGCCGCUGACGCCGCAGAGCGCAAAAACUGCGCCUACUACUACAGCUGCCACGUGUGUGGCUUCCAGACGGAGCUGAACGCCCAGUUUGUGGGCCACAUGUCUCUCCAUGUGGACAAGGAGCAGUGGAUGUUCUCUCUGUGCUGCAGCAUCUGCGACUACGUGUGCAUGGAGGAGGGCGACAUGAAGAACCACAUAAGCACCGGACACUCAGGCCUGAACUCGAGGAGUCCUCUGAGCGAGACCAAGAGCACGUCGUCGUCUCUCUCGGCUCUCAGCGACUCUCUCAACAGCUCAGAGGGCGGAGACCUGAUGGUGCACGGCGGCGAGGACCUGAAGAGCCUGCUGGCCCCGCCCUCCUCGGCCGGCAGCCAGUCCAGCGCCGGCAGCCACUCGGGGGCGGAGGACAAGUCGGAGAAAGGGUUCGAGUGCGUGUUCUGCACGUUCGUGUGCAAGACGCGCAGCAUGUAUGAGCGCCACCUGCAGAUCCACCUCAUCACGCGCAUGUUCGAGUGCGACGUGUGCCACAAGUUCCUGAAGACGCCCGAGCAGCUGCGGGAGCACAAGAAGUGUCACAGCGUCCCCUCCGGAGGGCUCAAGUAAGGAAAAGGUUUGUGAAGCGCUUUGGGGCCCAGAGCAGAUGAAAGGUGCUAUUUAAAUGUGUCCUUUCUGCAUCUACUCCACCAAUCGUCCGGCGGCCAUGGAGUGCCACCUGAAGACGCACCUGAAGCUGGAGCACCGCUGCCGCAUCUGCCAGGGACUGUGGCCCGACCGCCCCUCGCUGGAGGCCCACAUGCGCGCCCACCGCCUGGGCAACCACUACAAGUGCGAGCAGUGCGGCUACCUGUC